GAUUUUGUGUUGUCUAAUGUCAAAUAACUUUAUAUACAUGAUCUUGAUGUUAAAGAAAAAGAAAAACUUAUAUGCAUGAUCUCAUGAUGCUAAAACAUAUACAAAAUUGUUUCUGCCGUAUAUCUACUUUAUUGAAAAUUAAAAAUGAAAGCUCCUAGCAGUAGAAUCAUUUAGACAUUUUAACGAAUCCCGUAUAUCAUUAAAUACACUUUGAAAGAUAAGAGCUCAAACCUAAUUUAUCAUCCAAUGACAAAAAUAAAACCUAUUUUUUUGCAAAAAAAAGACACAAGCGGUGCCCUUCUUCUCACGAACCGUGGCAGCACCACCACCGGACUUCAGCAAAGCAAUCCUGCAAUAUUCUUCCACAAAAAAAAUACUUAGUUUUUAGUAUUAUGUAACCCUAAAGAAAAAUAUAUUUUAAAUGUAAAUAAAAAAUAGGAAAACUAUUGAGUAUAUGUUAGAAGUUGUAAUGAUUCAUAAAUUUUAAUUGGACGUAACUUUUUAUCAAUGUGUUACACUGUUGUUUUAAUAGAAUAGAUUUUUAUAAAUACAUAUAUAAUGGUUUGUAAAACCAUACAGCCAUAAGAUUUUGUGUUGUCUAAUGUCAAAUAACUUUAUAUACAUGAUCUUGAUGUUAAAGAAAAAGAAAAACUUAUAUGCAUGAUCUCAUGAUGCUAAAACAUAUACAAAAUUGUUUCUGCCGUAUAUCUACUUUAUUGAAAAUUAAAAAUGAAAGCUCCUAGCAGUAGAAUCAUUUAGACAUUUUAACGAAUCCCGUAUAUCAUUAAAUACACUUUGAAAGAUAAAAGCUCAAACCUAAUUUAUCAUCCAAUGACAAAAAUAAAACCUAUUUUUUUGCAAAAAAAAGACACAAGCGGUGCCCUUCUUCUCACGAACCGUGGCAGCACCACCACCGGACUUCAGCAAAGCAAUCCUGCAAUAUUCUUCCACAGAGGCACCAACAAAUUCUUCUAGAUACAUGCAAGCACAUGUGAAGAAAGCACAACAUCUCUUGAUUCAAUCUUCAUAAGAAAAGCUCUAUCUCAAUUACAAAAAAAAAAAAAAAAAGCUCUAUCUAAUACCCGUGAAAGGCUCUCCCGAUAGAUUGAGGAUGAUGAGGAUAUUAUUUCCAGAUGAAGAGAAAAGCAAGUUGGGAAAAACAAAAGAGCAAGUUCGGUGAAAUACAUGAACAUCAUCAAAAAAAUUGCUGGGAUUUGAACAAUAAAAACAGUGGUGGUUACAUAAAAAAAAAAAAUAUUUGGAUGCAGUUACAAAAAGUGGUUACCGAUUAGUAGGUAAUUUAAGUGGUGGUUACAUAAAAUAUAUAUAUAUUACGAUGCUUUUAUAUUAAAAUGGUAUGUAUAAUUUAAGUGGUGGUUACAUAAAAAAUAUAUAUAUAUUACGAUGCUUUUAUAUUAAAAUGGUAUGUAUUGUUGAAAUUAUAAGUUGGACAUAACUUUUAUCAAUGGGUCACACUGCUGUUUUAA
rnacentral:lncRNA from 1 species